AACGAACGCUGGCGGCAGGCUUAACACAUGCAAGUCGAACGCCCCGCAAGGGGAGUGGCAGACGGGUGAGUAACGCGUGGGAAUCUACCCAGUUCUACGGAACAACUGAGGGAAACUUCAGCCAAUACCGUAUACGCCCCAAGGGGGAAAGAUUUAUCGGAAUUGGAUGAGCCCGCGUUGGAUUAGCUAGUUGGUGAGGUAACGGCUCACCAAGGCGACGAUCCAUAGCUGGUCUGAGAGGAUGAUCAGCCACACUGGGACUGAGACACGGCCCAGACUCCUACGGGAGGCAGCAGUGGGGAAUAUUGGACAAUGGGCGCAAGCCUGAUCCAGCCAUGCCGCGUGAGUGAUGAAGGCCUUAGGGUUGUAAAGCUCUUUCAGUGGGGACGAUAAUGACGGUACCCACAGAAGAAGCCCCGGCUAACUUCGUGCCAGCCGCCGCUGUAACAC
rnacentral:rRNA from 1 species